AAGCAAUUAAAGCCAAAUCACUAGAAGUAAGGAAACUUUAACAUCAUGAAGAAUAUGGAAACUACAUCACCUUCAAAACAUGAUGGAAGAAGAACAAAGGCUAUUGAUGAAAAUUCAGAUUCAUUCUCUAAAAUCAAAAUGGAAGAGAAAGUUAUUAAGAAACUAAAUCAUGACAUUUGUGAAAUCACAGAAAGGAUCACAGAGAAAUUGUCAAAAAGAGAUUAUCUCGAAUCUGUGUUGAGACGCUUAAUUAGUUAUCGACGAUGCUCGCCACACA